AUUGAACGCUGGCGGCGUGCCUAACACAUGCAAGUCGAGCGGUAACAGGUGUAGCAAUACAUGCUGACGAGCGGCGGACGGGUGAGUAACGCUUGGGAAUCUGCCUAUUAGUGGGGGACAACCCGGGGAAACUCGGGCUAAUACCGCAUACGCUCUACGGAGGAAAGCCGGGGACCGCAAGGCCUGGCGCUAAUAGAUGAGCCCAAGUCGGAUUAGCUAGUUGGUAGGGAACGGCCUACCAAGGCUACGAUCCGUAACUGGUCUGAGAGGACGACCAGUCACACCGGAACUGAGACACGGUCCGGACUCCUACGGGAGGCAGCAGUGGGGAAUAUUGGACAAUGGGGGAAACCCUGAUCCAGCGACGCCGCGUGGGUGAAGAAGGCCU
rnacentral:rRNA from 1 species